CUCGUAGGCGGCUUGGUAAGUCGGAUGUGAAACCUCCAGGCUCAACCUGGAGUCGCCAUCCGAUACUGCCAUGGCUAGAGUCCGGUAGGGGCCCACGGAACUCCUGGUGUAGCGGUGAAAUGCGCAGAUAUCAGGAAGAACACCGGUGGCGAAGGCGGUGGGCUGGGCCGGAACUGACGCUGAGGAGCGAAAGCGUGGGAGCGAACAGGAUUAGAUACCCUGGUAGUCCACGCCGUAAACGUUGGGCACUAGGUGUGGGGCCUUAUCAACGGGCUCCGUGCCGUAGCUAACGCAUUAAGUGCCCCGCCUGGGGAGUACGGGCCGCAAGGCUAAA
rnacentral:rRNA from 1 species